GAUGAACGCUGGCGGUAUGCUUAACACAUGCAAGUCGAACGGUCACUUCGGUGAUAGUGGCGGACGGGUGAGUAACGCGUGAGAAUCUGUCUUCAGGUCGGGGACAACAGUUAGAAAUGACUGCUAAUACCGGAUGUGCCUUUGGGUGAAAGAUUUAUUGCCUGAAAAAGAGCUCGCGUCAGAUUAGCUAGUAGGUGGUGUAAGAGACUACCUAGGCUCCGAUCUGUAGCUGGUCUGAGAGGACGAUCAGCCACACUGGAACUGAGACACGGUCCAGACUCCUACGGGAGGUAGCAGUGGGGAAUUUUCCGCAAUGGGCGAAAGCCUGACGGAGCAAUACCGCGUGAGGGACGAAGGCUUUUGGGUCGUAAACCUCUUUUCUCAAGGAAGAUGAUGACGGUACUUGAGGAAUAAGCAUCGGCUAACUCUGUG
rnacentral:rRNA from 1 species